CGCUGGCGGCGUGCUUAACACAUGCAAGUCGAACGAGAGGAGAAGGAAGCUUGCUUCUUUCAAAUCUAGUGGCAAACGGGUGAGUAACACGUAAACAACCUGCCUUCAGGAUGGGGACAACAGACGGAAACGACUGCUAAUACCGAAUGCGUCUUUUUGUCGCAUGGCAGAGGGGAAGAAAAGGGAGGGCUCUUCGGAGCUUUCGCUGAAGAGGGGCUUGCGUCUGAUUAGCUAGUUGGAGGGGUAACGGCCCACCAAGGCGACGAUCAGUAGCCGGUCUGAGAGGAUGAACGGCCACAUUGGGACUGAGACACGGCCCAGACUCCUACGGGAGGCAGCAGUGAGGAAUAUUGGUCAAUGGACGGGAGUCUGAACCAGCCAAGUCGCGUGAGUGAUGAAGGAAUUCGUUCCGUAAAGCUCUUUUGUUUAUGACGAAUGUGCAGGUUGUGAAUAAUGACUUGUAAUGACGGUAGUAAACGAAUAAGCCACGGCUAACUACGUG
rnacentral:rRNA from 1 species